rnacentral:lncRNA from 1 species
UACAGAAGUUCCCAGACUAGGGGUUGAAUCAGAGCUUCAGCUGCCAACUCACACCACAUGGCAACACCAGAUCCCCAACCCACUGAGCAAGGCCAGGGAUUUGUUUCCACUGAGCCAUGACAGGAACUCCCAACCAUGACUUUCUUAGCAAAUAUUUAUAACCUUUCACAAACAUACAUCACUGGACUUUAAUCAUUUAUAAUUUCUAUAGAAUUUCAUUUGUGUUAAAUUCACCAACCAUUACUUCUGUUUCUUUUAAAUUGAAAUUGUAUUUGUUUUUUGUCCAGGUAAUACCAUCACGCAGUCCACAAGUAUGAAAAGUAUGCACAUCAAAAAAUCUACUUAGACUCAGAAACCAUUUGUUUAUCACUUUCUUGCAUAUCUUGCCAGAGAUUGUUUACAAGUCUAUCAGGAAAAUAUGUGUGUAUUUUUCCUCCCAUUUUUAGACAAAAACACCUGCAUACCACACAUGCUGUUCUGCACUUUGCUAUUUUCUUUGGGCCUAUACAUGUUUCAGAUUUUUUUAUAGGAGUAAUUAAGAAGCUUUCUUAUUUUUCAAAGAAAAGAAAAAGUGCAAUUACCAAUGAUUAUGCUCAAACAAGAGGUGAAACUAGAACUGUUAAGUGGCAAACCUGAAUGUAUGACAUAUUAGGAUGGAGGAAUGAGGUAAUAUAUGCUUGCUAGGAGAGAUUAAAGAAACUGGUACAAGUCAAGACACCUGCUAUUUUUUUUUAUGAUUUCUUUUGGCCAUGCCCACAGCACAUGGAAGUUCCUGGACCAGGUAUCAAACCCACGCCACAGCAGCAACCUGAGCCACUGUAGUGACAAAGCUGGUUUCUUAACCCACUGUACCACCAGGGAACUCCAUAACUGUUAUUUAUUAUUAGUAUUAAACAUUCUAAACAUCUAUAGGAAAGAUAUGUGCUUUCAUAUCAUCUACUUUGGGGGCCAAAUUUAUAUUCUCUUGUGAAAAAUAAGGAGAAACAAAUCCCUAAGUAAGAGAAGGAAGCCCCACUUCCAACCAGAAGGUAUCCUAAAAAUAACUCUAGGCAGAUAAAUUCUCCUUCGAGAAAAUGGUAAAAUGGUCUUUCACCAUUUUACUCCCCUGCUCCAGCAUAAUCAGCACACUAAGAGGAAUAUCUUAGUCAUGAUCCAUGAAGCAGAUGUUCUUGUGCAUUUUGUUCACUGCCCAUCCCCAGAGCCUAUGAUACAUUGCUUAAGAUAUAUUUGUUGAAUGAUUGAAUCAAUCAGUCAAUACAGGAUAGAGGUAGAACAAACAACAUAUCAAAAGGAAAAAUCAGAGCAGUACCAGAGUGCUAAGAGACUACAAAGGUAGGAUUGUGUAAUGCGUGAAAAUGCCCCAGCUACCAACUUGCCACUUCACUUGAGAUAGGUUGUUUAAUCUCACUGAAAUUAGGAUGUCUCAUCUCUACAACUGCAUCAAUUAUGUGCCACAAUAAAAAAACAGAAGAAGAAGAAAAAUCAUGUGGGAGUUCCCAUUGUGGCCAGUGGUAAUGAACCCAACUAGUAUCUAUGAGGAUAUGGGUUCAAACCCUGGCCUAGCUCAGUGGGUAAAGGAUCCAACAUUGCCAUGAGCUGUGGUAUGGGUCGAAGAAAAGGUUUGAAUCCUGUGUUGCUCUAGCUGUGGUGUAGGCUAGCAACAGUAUCUCUAAUUCGACCACUAGCCUGGGAACUUCCAUAUGCAGCAAGUACAGCCCUAAAAAGCAACAACAAGAAAAAAGCACAUAGCAAGAGAAGCCCAGACUGGGGAUUAAGAUGGCGGAAGAGAAGGACUGGAGCUCAACUUCUCUCCAAAAAACAACAAAAUUCACAACUAAAGACUGAGCACUCUUCAUGCAAAUGGACCGAAAACCAUAAAAAAAGAUAUCCUACUACAGAAAAAAAAGAGGAGGACACAUCAAGAGGUAAGAGGGGCGAUUUCACGAUAUAAACAAACCCAUACCUCCUAGGUGGGAAGCUCUGCAGACUGGAAACUAACUGGUUCACAGAGACUCACCUACAGGAGUGAGAGUUCUGAGCCACACAUCAAACUCUCACGUGUGGGGAUUUGGCACUGGGAGAAAGAGCCCCUGGAACAUCUGGCAUUGAAGGCCAGUGGGGCUUGUGCACAGGAGCUCCACGGGACUGGGGAAAAUGGAGACCCCAUUCUUAAAAGGCGCACACAGACUUUCACGUGCACUGGGUCCCAGGGCAAAGCAAAGUCUCCAAGGAAAUCUGGGUCAACCUGCAGUUCUUGGAGGACAUCCUGGGAAAACAGGGGUGAACAUGGCUUGUUGUGAGGGAAGGACAUUUAAAGCAAAGCUCUCGGGAAUAUUCAGCAGCCAUGCCUUUUUCUGGAGGUGGCCAUUUUGGGAAAAUCUAGCCCAACCCAUCAGUCAGCACUGAGAAGCCCAAGGGCAAACAACAAUCCAGGUGGGAUCACAGCCCCACCCCUCAGCAAACAGGCUACCUAAAGACCCUCAGGCACACAGCUGCCUCUAAUCCCAUGUAAAGACUAAGCCCCACCUACCAGAGAGAUUAGAAUUGGCUCCACCCACCAGUGGGCAGGCAUCAGCCCCUCCCAUACCUACUACAGACACAAGGGGAGAGACAUCAGAAGUAAGAAAGGCUACAACUCUAUUAUCUGUAAGAAGGUCACCACACCAAAAACCUAUAAAAAUGAAAAGACAGAGAACUAUAACUCAGAUGAGGGAGAAAGGGAAAACCCCAGAAAAACAGCUAAGCAAUGAGGAGAUUCUCAGCUUCCAGGAAAAAGACUUUAGACUGUCGAUGCUGAAGAUGAUGCAAGACAUUGGAAAUAAACUGGAGGCAAAGAUGGAUAACUUACAGGAAACACUGACCAAAGAGAUACAAGAUAUAAAACUUAAACAAGAAGAGAUGCAAAAUACAAUAAUGGAAAUAAAAAAUUCACUCUAACAGCAGAAUACAGGAGGCAGAAGAAUGAAUAAGCGAGGUGGAGGA